UGCCUAUAACAUUCGAAUAAUUAAAACAAUAAUUGCAUGAUCUUUGCAUAAUUAAUUAAUGAAAAUUUCUUGUUUCAAACGACAAAUAUCGUCACGAUAUCAUGUUAAAGAAAUGCUUCUUUCAUCACUGAUUUGUUACAUAAACUAAAAUUAUCCCGGCUUAUCGAAGUCUAAUGUAUUUCAUGAUUUCACAAGUUUACUGUAACUGUGGUAAGUUAUAUCUAAAUAGAAAACACUUCAGUCAUAAAGAAACUUCUAUACAUAGCACUGGUUCAAUUAUCAACUGGAAAUCUUACUUUAAUAAGACUGGUGUGCAAAUUAAUAAUUUAAAGAAAAAUCAAUUAAUAUGAUGAAUUAUAAAUGGAACAAAUUGGCAGUUCAUAAGGAACCGCCUCAAAUACUUCGAACUAAAUUACAAUUGCCGAUAAAAACUUUAAUGAGUCCUGGACCGACUAAUUGUUCGAAACGAGUUCUUCGAUCUCUACAGAAUCAAAUUCUUGGGCAUCUUCAUCCAGAAUUUUGUAUGUUAAUGGACGAAAUUAAGGAAGGCCUUCAAUACAUCUUUCAAACUAAUAAUAGACUCACUUUGGUACUAAGUGCAUCAGGUCAUGGAGGUAUGGAGGCUUGUUUAACAAAUUUACUCGAACCUGGUGAAACUGUACUCAUUGUCAAGUGUGGAAUUUGGGGUCAACGAGCAGCUUGUAUGGCCAAUCGACUUGGUGCAAAUGUAAAAUUAUUAGAAACAGAAUGCACUAAAGGAGUCACAUUGAAAGAAUUAGAAAUUGCUUUAGAACAGCAUAGACCAGUCGUAGUCUUUAUGGUCCAAGCUGAAUCUUCCACAGGUGUGAAACAACCAUUAGAAGGUUUUGGUGAAGUUAUUCAUAAAUACAAUGCUCUGCUUAUCGUUGAUGUGGUUGCAUCAUUGUGUGGCGAGCCAUUCUUUAUGGAUUCUUGGGAUAUCGAUGCAGCUUACGCGGGCAGCCAAAAAGCCAUUGGUGCCCCUCCAGGACUUGCACCUAUUUCCUUUAGUCCGCGAGCAGAAAAGAAAUUGUUUGAAAGAAAAAUAAAACCUUUCUCGUUUUAUUGGGAUCUUACAAUUCUUGGAAAUUAUUGGAAAUGUUUUGGAAAUGAGGAUCGUGUAUAUCAUCACACUAUGAGUGCUACACUUCUUUAUGGUCUUCGUGAAGCAUUGGCAGAAAUCGCAGAAGAGGGUCUUCAAGCAUUAUGGAACAGACAUGCUGCCGCAGCUGUCAGAUUAAGAAAGGGUCUUGAAUUACGAGGUCUUCAAUCUUACGUAAAAAUUCCACAAUAUCAAUUAUCUACGGUUAUAUCUAUACAGUUGCCACCUGGUGUUGAUGAUAAAAUUGUUAUUCAACGAGCCAUGGAAAAAUACAAGGUUGAAAUUAGUAGAGGCUUGGGCCCAACUGUUGGAAAAGUUUUGCGGAUUGGAUUGCUAGGAGUUAACGCCACCCCCGAAAAAGUCGAUUUUGUUCUACGUGGUCUGGACGAGGGUUUGAAAUAUGCAUCGAUUUCAAUCAUAGUUAGAAUCUAAAUAAAAAAAAAACAUUAUAUUUAAUAGAAGAUUCAAAACCGAUUAUUCGGAUCCAAAUACAGAUCUUAAUCAUAAUAGAAGCUUAAAUAUAUUAAUAAAAGAAAGUGAUAGUUCUUAUAUGUACAUUAUCACUAUCAAAAACUAAAAGUGAUGAUUAUAUAUAUAGAAAAAAAUUGUGUAAAACUACGUCUUUUAUAACAUAUUUCAAGAUCAAAUUGUGAUGCUCUUUUAAAUCGUUGACAUUGUAUCACUGCGCGCGGGGAACCGUUCUUUAUGGAUUCUUAAGACGUCGAUGCAGCUUACGCGGCAGCCAAAAGGCAUUCCAUAUCUCUCCGAAGAUACUUUCGUCUAUUUCAUUCAAUCCACGAGCAGAGUACGUAAUGAUAUUGCGGUUUUCUUUUUAACCGCAACUCUUCUGUAUAGAGUAACCGUGAAAAUCGGCACUCUCUAGAAUAUCAAUUCAAUUCGUAAGGUCAUCACGAUGACUUGCACAAUCUAUUCGGUAUUUUUGUGAUUCAUAACUACGGAUCGUUGAUAAAUUCUUACAGAAUGAUAAUUUGAUGCCUUUUGAAUUAUUACGUUGUUAUCGGUUAUCUGGGAAAAAAAUCUUUUUUUACUUAUUUAUGUUCACUUAUUAUUAUUAACUUUUCCAUGCAUCUUAUUUUUAAUAUCUUAACAUUAAUUUUCUAUUAUUAUCAAUAAUUCGUUACUAUUACUAUUAAUUUACCAACAUUAUAUCUUUACAUUCAAUUAUUAUAAAGUGACAAAUAUUUGUGGAAAUUUUAUUAUAACAUUUUCUUUGUUAUAAUGGAAAGAAAUUGUUUGGAAGGAAAGUGAAAUCCUCGUAUUACUGAGACUUUAUAAUUCUUGGAAAUGAGUGAAACAUUGGUAGAAAUCGCAGAAAAAAACCUUCAAGAAUAUAUCAUAGAAUAUUCAUUGCAGCUAUUAGAUUAAGAAAGAUUAAAAAUUUAAAAGAUUAAGAUAUUAAAAAUCUUAAUUAUGAAAUUUUCAAUCUUAUGUGAAAAUUUCAUAUAAUAUAAAUUAUCUACGAUUAUUUGUAUAAAGCUGCCAUUUGAUGUUGAGAAUUCGGCGAACUAAAAGUUAUUUUUGUCUAAAUUCUAACAAAAAUAUUUUCAUCUUUUUUUAUAAAAAUUUCAUCUUUUUUUUAAAAAUAAAUGUUUAGCAUAUUACUAUUUUGAUAAAAGUUUUAAUUAUUUAUAUUUUUUAUGGGUUUAUACAUAUGUAAUAUAUAAUUUGAUAUCUUUAAAUAUAAGGUUGAAAGUGGCAGAGAUUUGGAUCUAACUGCUGGGAAAUUUAUGAAUUGGAUUACUAAGAAUUAAUACAAUAUUUAAAAAAAUAAAUCUUGUUUUAUAUAUUUUGGACGAGGGUUUCAAAGAAAUAAAAAAAAAUGAACAAGAAAAAUUAUAAUCAAGUGUUUUUAUAAUUAUACAAUAUAAGUAUCUAAUCACACAUUUAUCAAACUAAGAAUUA